rnacentral:rRNA from 1 species
UGGGGAAUUUUGGACAAUGGGCGAAACCCUGAUCCAGCCAUCCCGCGUGUGCGAUGAAGGCCUUCGGGUUGUAAAGCACUGUUGGCAGGAAAGAAGCGUCAUGGGUUAAUACCCCGUGAAACUGACGGUACCUGCAGAAUAAGCACCGGCUAA